AAUCUGCGAUAAGCGUCGGUAAGGUGAUAUGAACCGUUAUAACCGGCGAUUUCCGAAUGGGGAAACCCAGUGUGAUUCGUCACACUAUCAUUAACUGAAUCCAUAGGUUAAUGAGGCGAACCGGGGGAACUGAAACAUCUAAGUACCCCGAGGAAAAGAAAUCAACCGAGAUUCCCCCAGUAGCGGCGAGCGAACGGGGAGCAGCCCAGAGCCUGAAUCAGUGUGUGUGUUAGUGGAAGCGUCUGGAAAGGCGUGCGAUACAGGGUGACAGCCCCGUACACAAAAAUGCACAUACUGUGAGCUCGAUGAGUAGGGCGGGACACGUGGUAUCCUGUCUGAAUAUGGGGGGACCAUCCUCCAAGGCUAAAUACUCCUGACUGACCGAUAGUGAACCAGUACCGUGAGGGAAAGGCGAAAAGAACCCCGGCGAGGGGAGUGAAAAAGAACCUGAAACCGUGUACGUACAAGCAGUGGGAGCACGCUUAGGCGUGUGACUGCGUACCUUUUGUAUAAUGGGUCAGCGACUUAUAUUCUGUAGCAAGGUUAACCGAAUAGGGGAGCCGAAGGGAAACCGAGUCUUAACUGGGCGUUAAGUUGCAGGGUAUAGACCCGAAACCCGGUGAUCUAGCCAUGGGCAGGUUGAAGGUUGGGUAACACUAACUGGAGGACCGAACCGACUAAUGUUGAAAAAUUAGCGGAUGACUUGUGGCUGGGGGUGAAAGGCCAAUCAAACCGGGAGAUAGCUGGUUCUCCCCGAAAGCUAUUUAGGUAGCGCCUCGUGAAUUCAUCUCCGGGGGUAGAGCACUGUUUCGGCAAGGGGGUCAUCCCGACUUACCAACCCGAUGCAAACUGCGAAUACCGGAGAAUGUUAUCACGGGAGACACACGGCGGGUGCUAACGUCCG
rnacentral:rRNA from 1 species